rnacentral:tRNA from 1 species
UAAACCUUAAGUUAAUAAAACUAUAGGCCUUCAAAGCUUAAAAAAGCAAAAGCUAGGUUUAA